rnacentral:rRNA from 1 species
UACGAACGGUCCAAACGUUAUUCGGAAUCACUGGGCUUAAAGCGUCCGUAGGCGGCUCGGAAAGUAGGGUGUGAAAUCCCACGGCUCAACCGUGGAAUUGCGCUCUAAACUAUCGAGCUAGAGGGAGAUAGAGGUGAGCGGAACUGAUGGUGGAGCGGUGAAAUGCGUUGAUAUCAUCAGGAACACCGGAGGCGAAGGCGGCUCACUGGGUCUUUUCUGACGCUGAGGGACGAAAGCUAGGGAGCGAACGGG